rnacentral:piRNA from 1 species
AGCUGGAGACCCCAGAACUUGGUGUCUGCCUU